GGGGAAGACUUUGGUGUUUGAUUUUUAUUUACUUUCUGCCUGAUAUCAGCACAUGAGGGCGCUGUGCUGUAGUUUUGAAAGAUGCAGCGAACAGUCUGAAAACCAUUAAUUCAUGAAUAAAGUUAGCUCCAUGUCAUACUGAAGCACCCCUAAACCAACUCAAACACACUAUAAAAGAUCAACGAGGAGAACAAAGAACAGUAUGAAUGCAGUGUAGUGUUUAACCAACAUCUAAAUAAACAUAUAGUGACUCACUUAGGAGAACAAAAAAAAAAAACAAUCUUUCAGUUUUAAAAAGCUGAAGCUUAAAAUAUGGCACAAAACAGCUCCCCUUAUGGUAUGUAACAUACAGACAGGUGUGUCGAGUGUUGAAUUUGCUGCAAUCUUGAAAUGUAACGUGAUCUCGAAGAAAAUAUCCAAG